rnacentral:misc_RNA from 1 species
GACGAACCGUACAAACGUUAUUCGGAAUUACUGGGCUUAAAGGGUGCGUAGGCGGUGCGGCAAGUUGGAUGUGAAAUCCCUCAGCUCAACUGAGGAAUUGCGUCCAAUACUGCCGUGCUAGAGGGAAGCAGGGGUGAGCGGAACUCACGGUGGAGCGGUGAAAUGCGUUGAUAUCGUGAGGAACACCGGUGGCGAAAGCGGCUCACUGGGCUUCUACUGACGCUGAGGCACGAAAGCUAGGGGAGCGAACGGG